rnacentral:rRNA from 1 species
UGGGGAAUAUUGGGCAAUGGGCGCAAGCCUGACCCAGCAACGCCGCGUGAAGGAAGAAGGCUUUCGGUUGUAAACUUCUUUUCUCAGGGACGAAGAAAGUGACGGUACCUGAGGAAUAAGCCACGGCUAACUACGUGCC